rnacentral:rRNA from 1 species
AUUGAACGCUGGCGGCAUGCUUUACACAUGCAAGUCGAACGGUAACAGGCCGCAAGGUGCUGACGAGUGGCGAACGGGUGAGUAAUGCAUCGGAGCGUGCCCAGUCGUGGGGGAUAACUACUCGAAAGAGUAGCUAAUACCGCAUACGAUCUAUGGAUGAAAGCGGGGGACCGUAAGGCCUCGCGCGAUUGGAGCGGCCGAUGUCAGAUUAGGUAGUUGGUGGGGUAAAGGCUCACCAAGCCAACGAUCUGUAGCUGGUCUGAGAGGACGACCAGCCACACUGGGACUGAGACACGGCCCAGACUCCUACGGGAGGCAGCAGUGGGGAAUUUUGGACAAUGGGCGCAAGCCUGAUCCAGCAAUGCCGCGUGCAGGAGGAAGGCCUUCGGGUUGUAAACUGCUUUUGUACGGAGCGAAACGGCUCUGGUUAAUACCCGGGGCUAAUGACGGUACCGUAAGAAUAAGCACCGGCUAACUACGUG